rnacentral:lncRNA from 1 species
GAUACACAAUCUGCAAAUAUUUUCACCCAUUCUAUGGGUUGUUUCACUUGAUCAAACAAAGUACAAAAUUUUUUAAGUUUGAUGACGUCCAACUUACUCUUCAUUGGUUGCUUGUAUUUUGGUGCCAUACCUAAGAAACUAUUGCCUGCAAUGAGGUCAUAAAGAUUGACCCUGUGUUUUUCAUUUAGCUUCUAUGAGUUUUUCUGUCUUAGAUCCAAUUCAGAGUUAAUUUUUGAAUCAGAAUAUGCUCUGUAACAAGAUGCCAGAUGAUUUGUAUGCACAAUAAAAUUAAGAAGCACUGAUUUAAAUUACUAGUAAAUUCUUAUUUCCUUGCCUUACAAUCAUUUCAGAAGCUUUAAAAAAUUAUGACUAGGAGUUGCUGUUGUAAGCUCAGUGGUAACAAACCCAACUAGUGUCCAUGAGGAUGUGGGUUUGAUCCCUGGGUUGAAGGAGCUGGCGUUGCUGUGAGCUGUGGUAUAGGUCGCAGACGUGGCUAAAAUCCCACAUUGCUGUGGCUAUGGAGUGGACUGGUGGCUACAGCUCUGAUUCGACCCCUGGUCUGGGAACUUCCAUAUGCCAAGGUUGUAGCCCUAAAAGACCAAAAAAAAAAGCACAAAGUUAUGCCUGAGCCUUACAGAUAAAACAAUUUUACUUAGCCUGAGCUUUUUGUUUGUUUGUUUAACCUUUUUAGUUGACUUGGAUUUACAUUUUAUCAUCUGGCUAUCAUGUCUGAGGCAUUUAAUUUGUCCCCCUGCCCCUUUUUUUUCUCUUUAAGGCCAUAACAGCAGCAUAUGGAAGUUCCCAGGCUAGGGGUUGAAUUGGAGCUGCAGCUGCUGGCCUACAUCACAGCCACAGCCACACCAGAUCUGAGCAACCUACACCACAGCUAGCAGCAACGCUAGAUCCGUAACCCAUUGAGCGAGGCCUGGGAUUGAACCCGCAUCUUCAUGGAGACUAGCCAGCUUCUUAACCCUCGAGCCACAAUGGGAACUCCUGUCUACCCCCUCCCCCUUUUUUUUCUCAAAAGAGAGGGAUGGAAAUAGGUAAAACACACUCCUGUCUUCUCUUUGGAAAUCCAGAGUCAUAGAAGAAAUUCAAAUGCAUCAAUGACCCACAGACCUAAAUUCAUAAAAAUCUUGAACAUGAGGCAAAAAACUUUCAUGACCCUGGAUUUGGCAGUGAAUUGUUAUAUAUGGCACCAAAACCACGAGUGACAUCAGAAAAAAAGACAUAUUUGACAGCAUCAAAAUUUAAAACUUUUGUGCAAAGAGCACUAUCAACAAAGUGAAAAAAUAACCUGUAACUGAAAGGGUUUUAUGUCCAGAACGUAUAAAGAACUCCUACAAUUCAACAACAAAAAUUUUCAAAAGGCAAGGGACUUGAAAUUUCUCCAAAGACAUACAAACAGCCAAGAAAACACACUCAUCACCAAGAUGGCUGUAAUUUUUGUGUGUGUGUCUUUUUGCCUUUCCUAGGGCCACACCCACGGCAUAUGGAGGUUCCCAGGCUAGAGGUCUAAUUGGAGCUGUAGACACCAGCCUACACCACAGCCACAGCAACUCAUGAUCCAAGCCAGGUCUGCAACCUACACCACAGCUCAUGGCAACACCAGAUCCUUAACCCUCUGAGCAAAGCCAGGAAUCGAACCCACAACCUCAUGGCUCCUAGUCAAGAUUCGUUAAUCAGUGAGCCAUGAUGGGAACUCCGGAUGGCUAUAAUUUAAAACAGAAGAUAAGGAGUGUUGCCAAGGAUGUAGAGAAAAUUGGAACCCAUACAUUGCCGAUGGGAAUGUAAAACAGUGCAACUGGUGUGGAAAAUAAGCACUUCCUCCAAAAGUUAAAAAUAGAUUUACUAGGAGUUCCCGUUAAUGGCUCAGUAGGUUAUGAACCCAACUAACAUCCACGAGGACGUGGAUUCAAUCCCUGGCCUAGCUCAGCAGGUUAAGGAUCUGGCAUUGCCUUUAGCUGUGGUGUAGGCCAGCAGCUGCAGCUCCGAUUCAACCCCUAGCCUGAGAACUUCCAUAUGCCACAAGCCCCUUAAAAAAAAAAUUACCUUAUGACCCAACAAUUCCACUCUAGGUAUGAAUCCAAAUGAAUUAAAAACAGUAACUCUAAUUCUUAUACACUAAUGUUACGGCAGCAUUAUUCACAAUAUCUAAAGGAUGUAAGUGUCCAUCAACCAAUGAAAUGAAGAAAAUGUGGUAAUUAUUACUCAGUCUCAGUCAUGAAAGGGGAAAAAGUGCUGAAUGAUGAAAAAAAUGCUCCAACAUAAAUGAUCCUUGGAAACAUGCUAAGAAGCCUGACACAAAAGGUCACAUAAAGGCACAUCUCAUUAUGCUUCAAAAAUACUACAUUUAUGGAGUCCCCACUGUGGCACAGUGGGUUAAGGAUCUGGCAUUGUCUCAGUAGCAGCUCAGGUUGUUGCCGAGGCAUGGGUUCGAUUCCCAGUCCAGCACAGUGGGUUAAGGAUCUGGUGUUGCCACANUCUUUUUUUUUUUUUUUUUUAAACAAACUGUAGAUCUGUAGCAACCCUGGGUUGAGAAAGUCUUUCAGAGCCAUUUUUCCGACAGCAUUCACUUCGUGUCUCUGAAUCACAUUUACUUAACUCUUCACAUUUUUCAAAUAUUUUCAGCAUUACAGUAUUUGUUAUGAUGAUCUGUCAUUAACGGUCUUUGAUGCUAUUAUGAUAAAUGCAAAUGUGGCGGGAAAUAGCAAAAGAACUAAAAUUAGAAGCCAAGCCUGAAGAUGUGACUGAACUGCUGCAAUCUCCUGAUAAAACUUAAAUGAAUUAAGUAGCUGCUUUUUAUGGAUGAGCAAAAAAAAAGUGGUUUAAGAUGAAAUCUAUGUAGUCCUGGUGAAGAAGCUGUGAAGACUGGAGAAGUGACAACAACGGGUUUAGAAUAUCACAUAAACUUAGUUGAGAAAGCAGUGGCAGGGUUUGAGAGGUCUGAUUCCAAUUUUGAAAGACGUGCCUGCUACAGAGAAAUCAUUUGUGGAAGGAAGAGUCAAUCAGUGUGGCAAACUUCAUUGUUGUCUUAUUUUAAGAAACUUUGACAGCAACCACUACCCUAAUCAGUCAGCAGACACAAACAUCGAGGCAGGACCCUCUAUCAGGAAAAAGAUUACAAUUCAUUGAAGGUGCAGAUGACAGUUAGCAUAUUUUAGCAAUGAAGUAUUUUAAUUAAGGUAUAUACAUUGUUUAAGACAAAAUACUACUGCACACUUAAUAGACUACAUUAUAGUGUAAGUAUAACUUAUAUAUGCAUUGGAAAACCAAAAACUUCAUGUGACUUGCUUUCUUGUGAUAUUAGGUUUAUUAAGGUGCUCUGGAGCUGAAUCCAUACUAUCUCUGAGGUAUGCCUGUACUACAAAAACUAGAAUGUAUGCUUCGUGUGGACAGACUGCCAAAGAAAAGGGGAUCAGUUUGUAGUACUGUUCCUUCUACAAUAUUCAAUAAGGAGUACAGUCAUUACUUUCCCCUUGAAAAAGAAGAACAGAAAUGAGCUCCUCCGAUAUUUUUUCCCCCCUCCUGGGAUCAGACUGUGUGACUGAUGAUCACCAAUUCUGUGACAUUCUACCCAUCAAGCAGUUGGGCCUAGGACCCUUAAAUCUGGGCAAGACUGCUAGACCAUUAGAAUACAGGAGAAAUGACACUGGGCCAGUGUGGAGGCCACAUCUUAAAAAACUGACAGCUUUUAUUUUUCUUAAAAUACUUGCUCUUUAAAACCAUCUACCAUCUUGUGGGGAAGCACAAGCAGCCCCAUAGAAAAGUACAUGCGGAGAGGAACUGAGACUCCAACUGCACUCCCGGAUGAAAGUCAUGUAUUAGUUAAAUGGCUAUGUGAAUAAGCCCUCUCGAAAUUCUCCAGACCCAGCCAAGUUGCUCCAGCAGUACUCAGCAAUCCUUGCCAAACUGCUCAUUCAUGAAUAAAAUUAAUGGCCAAUUCUUGUUCUCAGCCCCUAAGCUGUGGGGUAGCUUGUUAAAAGCAUGAGAUAACCACAAACAGCAGAAAUUCCCUUCCCUCCCUAAAAAUUAUAAGGGGUGGAGAAUGAGUCUAAAUAGGUUUUUUAAAAAAUCUAGCUUGAACAUACAGUGACAACUACAUACAUAGGCCAUUAAAGAAUUAGGCCCCGUAUUAGGUGUGGUCUUCCGAGGCAAUCUAUACAGGGAGCUCCCAUAUAUGCCUAGUUCUGUUCUAAGCCUAAAGUGUAGUAAGCAAGACAGAUUGGGUUGUAGAUCUAGAACAGGUUACAUUACAAUUAGGGAGUCUUAAGGCACAAAUAUUAACAUGUAUAAACUGGAAUUAUAAAGUGCGGAUGUGUUUUGUCACUAUCUGGAAAAAAAAUCUCAGUCUUAUUCUAUUCAAUCUGACCAAAGCAAAGAUGUUGGGAGGGGGUGCUUUUCCUCCAUUUCCAAAAGGGCUGACCACAAAAAAAGUAGUUCCGAUGGGCUGGGAAGGUAUCUAUCACUCCUACUGACGAGGAAAGGCAGCUAGGGAUCAAGGUGAGGAAAACGAUGCCUGGAAAGACAAAGAAACCCUCUCCCUCACACUUUAGCUCAUGUAACAAAAUUUGCCUGCUUAUCUAGAUCUAUCAAACCUAUUCUGUAGAUCAAAGGUGGUAAAAUGUCUUUCUCUUUGUAGUUUUUGGUAGAAAACAAUUACCCCAGACUCUCCCCCUAAAGCAAGUCCUCCUGCCACACACAAACAACACGCUCAAGUAUUUCCCAUCUUCAAAGAACACAAAAGGCAAAAACUUCCUCUACACUGCCACAGCUACUGCCCCCCUUUCUCCGAUUCUCUUUGGGCAACCUGGUAUUGUCUAGGUUCACUCUAAUGAGAAUUUUAACCUUAUCACCCUUUAAAACCCCAUUAUUGUCAUAAAGGUCCUUCCCUUCAGUAAAUCCAUAGGUUAAUAUUUGAUCUGUGAUGAAUACUUGAAGCAACAGCAUUUAACAGAGUUCAUUUACCAUCUUUCUCCUUGUGAAGUUUCUAUUUCUACACUGGCUUUCACUCUACCUGUCCAUGUCCUUUGCUGGUUUCCUCUCAUCUCUCUGCAAAGAAAGUUAGUGUUGAACUAGGGCUCAACCUUCCCAAAGUGUCUUUAUCCAACACUGUCUAAAAUUUCUCUGGUCAGGAUUUCUCAACCUUGGCACUAGGCUGAGAUAAAGCUUUGUCAUGGGAGCCUGCUCU